rnacentral:lncRNA from 1 species
UCUUCCCGCUUUAAUCCCAGACCUCCAGUCAUUGGGCAGCUCCUCAGAGGCAAGAAGUCAACACCAUGGCAACCCGACAAGCCUAUCAAAUCACCGGCUGGCGUGACAGCAGCAACACUGCAGGCUGGAGUGGGCUGGGCAGAGGAGUCGAGUGGCCACUACGCUCAGGUUGCCAUGACAACGAGGAUUGGACAAAUACAGUUUGCUGGCACCUAUAAUGGUGGAAACAGGAUGUCAGAGAGGUAUCAUCUGAUGGAAAUGUUGAUUCUUGACCUUCUCUCUGAUACUCUGUCUGCCAAGGCAAAAGGAAGCAAAUAAAUCUGUAGUGUUGACAUCUCCACACUGAACCAUUGCUCCUUAAAUGUACCUCAGGAUGGAAAUAAGGUGGGAUAUUUUCCAAAUCUAUUGAAAAUCAUUUGUUCCUAGACCCAAAGCCCAAGACUGAAAUGUGCCUACAUGUUAACAAGAGAAAGAAAAACAACUAGCUGGAAGAAAAAAGAAGAACACGACCAAAGCUUUGUUAAUCGUAUUUAGUCUUUCCGUUAGCAGAUUUACUCAGUCAGUCAUAUCAUCAGCAUACCCUGGGUGCACACAGGGUGCCUGAAAUAGAGGCACUGUAGAACUGGGGGUACAGAAUGGGACAAACUUGCAAUCCCUAGCCCUUAGAUAGAAG